rnacentral:rRNA from 1 species
UACGAAGGGGGCUAGCGUUGUUCGGAAUUACUGGGCGUAAAGCGCGCGCAGGCGGUUCUUCAAGUCAGGGGUGAAAGCCCGGAGCUCAACUCCGGAACUGCCAUUGAAACUGUAGAACUUGAGGAUGAGAGAGGUGAGUGGAAUUCCCAGUGUAGAGGUGAAAUUCGUAGAUAUUGGGAAGAACACCAGUGGCGAAGGCGGCUCACUGGCUCAUUUCUGACGCUCAGGCGCGACAGCGUGGGGAUCAAACAGG